rnacentral:rRNA from 1 species
UACAGGGGGUGCAACCGUUGCUCGGAAUUAUUGGGCGUAAAGCGCGCGUAGGCGGCUACUUCAGUCGGAUGUGAAAUCCCUCGGCUCAACCGAGGAACUGCAUCCGAUACUGGCGGGCUUGAAUCCGGGAGAGGGAUGUGGAAUUCCAGGUGUAGCGGUGAAAUGCGUAGAUAUCUGGAGGAACACCGGUGGCGAAGGCGGCAUCCUGGACCGGUAUUGACGCUGAGGCGCGAAAGCUAGGGGAGCAAACGGG